rnacentral:rRNA from 1 species
CUCGUAGGCGGCCAACUAAGUCAGACGUGAAAUCCCUCGGCUUAACCGGGGAACUGCAUCUGAUACUGGAUGGCUUGAGAUCGGGAGAGGGAUGCGGAAUUCCAGGUGUAGCGGUGAAAUGCGUAGAUAUCUGGAGGAACACCGGUGGCGAAGGCGGCAUCCUGGACCGACACUGACGCUGAGGAGCGAAAGCCAGGGGAGCGAAACG